rnacentral:rRNA from 1 species
UACGUAGGCAGCAAGCGUUGUUCGGAUUCAUUGGGCGUAAAGGGUGCGUAGGUGGCGGGGUAAGUCUGGUGUGAAAGCUCCGAGCUCAACUCGGAAAAGCAUUGGAAACUAUCCCGCUGGAGGGUCGGAAGGGGAGACUGGAAUUCUCGGUGUAGCAGUGAAAUGCGUAGAUAUCGAGAGGAACACCAGUGGCGAAGGCGAGUCUCUGGACGACUCCUGACACUGAGGCACG